GGUGUGCGAUAGACUCACCUCUACGAGGUGCACCCCAGGUAACGUAUUCUAAUACGGCAAAAUGUCUAU
rnacentral:ribozyme from 1 species